AAAUUGAAGAGUUUGAUCAUGGCUCAGAUUGAACGCUGGCGGCAGGCCUAACACAUGCAAGUCGAACGGUAACAGGAAGCAGCUUGCUGCUUUGCUGACGAGUGGCGGACGGGUGAGUAAUGUCUGGGAAACUGCCUGAUGGAGGGGGAUAACUACUGGAAACGGUGGCUAAUACCGCAUAACGUCGCAAGACCAAAGAGGGGGACCUUCGGGCCUCUUGCCAUCAGAUGUGCCCAGAUGGGAUUAGCUAGUUGGUGAGGUAACGGCUCACCAAGGCGACGAUCCCUAGCUGGUCUGAGAGGAUGACCAGCCACACUGGAACUGAGACACGGUCCAGACUCCUACGGGAGGCAGCAGUGGGGAAUAUUGCACAAUGGGCGCAAGCCUGAUGCAGCCAUGCCGCGUGUAUGAAGAAGGCCUUAGGGUUGUAAAGUACUUUCAGCGGGGAGGAAGGUGUUGCGGUUAAUAACCGCAGCAAUUGACGUUACCCGCAGAAGAAGCACCGGCUAACUCCGUGCCAGCAGCCGCGGUAAUACGGAGGGUGCAAGCGUUAAUCGGAAUUACUGGGCGUAAAGCGCACGCAGGCGGUCUGUCAAGUCGGAUGUGAAAUCCCCGGGCUCAACCUGGGAACUGCAUUCGAAACUGGCAGGCUUGAGUCUUGUAGAGGGGGGUAGAAUUCCAGGUGUAGCGGUGAAAUGCGUAGAGAUCUGGAGGAAUACCGGUGGCGAAGGCGGCCCCCUGGACAAAGACUGACGCUCAGGUGCGAAAGCGUGGGGAGCAAACAGGAUUAGAUACCCUGGUAGUCCACGCCGUAAACGAUGUCUACUUGGAGGUUGUGCCCUUGAGGCGUGGCUUCCGGAGCUAACGCGUUAAGUAGACCGCCUGGGGAGUACGGCCGCAAGGUUAAAACUCAAAUGAAUUGACGGGGGCCCGCACAAGCGGUGGAGCAUGUGGUUUAAUUCGAUGCAACGCGAAGAACCUUACCUGGUCUUGACAUCCACAGAACUUUCCAGAGAUGGACUGGUGCCUUCGGGAACUGUGAGACAGGUGCUGCAUGGCUGUCGUCAGCUCGUGUUGUGAAAUGUUGGGUUAAGUCCCGCAA
rnacentral:rRNA from 1 species